AGUACAGCGUGCGAUAACAUUUAGGAGACGAUUGGAAAGGAGUUCACUCAUUCCAUUGUGUCAACAACGAGAAUAAUUAUAGCCAUACAAACCGUUGGCCUAUUUUGUUUGAUAUCGAUCUAAACAUACGACAUAUUGAAGGUUUGCAGAGGCAACUGGAGGCUUGCAGCAGGAUGCUGAUUUGACAGCUCAAAUUCGUCGCUUCUGGUGCCUGAUUGGCUAAAAGAAUCCCGUUGAAAUUGGGGUCGCAUCGGUGGAGGAUGGCUAGCAAGCCUGCUAGCUUCGUAUUUUAAGGUCAGUGCUAGCCAUUUGAGCGGAGUUCAUAUCUGUCUGUUCUACUGUUGCGCAAGAGAGACACAUGAAAAUUGGCUUAACUACAUAAUCAAGCUUGACAAAAGACAAAGGACUAGGUGUGGAUGACCCCUCCCCUUACGAGAUGUA